GACGAACGCUGGCGGCGUGCUUAACACAUGCAAGUCGAACGGAAAGGCCCUGCUUUUGUGGGGUGCUCGAGUGGCGAACGGGUGAGUAACACGUGAGUAACCUGCCCUUGACUUUGGGAUAACUUCAGGAAACUGGGGCUAAUACCGGAUAGGAGCUCCUGCUGCAUGGUGGGGGUUGGAAAGUUUCGGCGGUAGGGGAUGGACUCGCGGCUUAUCAGCUUGUUGGUGGGGUAGUGGCUUACCAAGGCUUUGACGGGUAGCCGGCAUGAGAGGGUGACCGGCCACAAUGGGACUGAGAUACGGCCCAGACUCCUACGGGAGGCAGCAGGGGGGAAUAUUGCACAAUGGGCGGAAGCCUGAUGCAGCAACGCCGCGUGCGGGAUGACGGCUUUCGGGUUGUAAACCGCUUUCGCCUGUGACGAAGCGUGAGUGACGGUAAUGGGUAAAGAAGCACCGGCUAACUACGUG
rnacentral:rRNA from 1 species